AGAAGAGCGGCGGACGGGUGAGUAACGCGUGGGUAACCUGCCCUGUACACACGGAUAACAUACCGUCAGGUAUGCUAAUACGGGAUAACAUAUAAGAGUCGCAUGACUUUUAUAUCAAAGAUUUUUUGGUACAGGAUGGACCCGCGUCUGAUUAGCUUGUUGGCGGGGUAACGGCCCACCAAGGCGACGAUCAGUAGCCGACCUGAGAGGGUGAUCGGCCACAUUGGAACUGAGACACGGUCCAAACUCCUACGGGAGGCAGCAGUGGGGAAUAUUGCACAAUGGGCGCAAGCCUGAUGCAGCAACGCCGCGUGAGCGAUGAAGGCCUUCGGGUCGUAAAGCUCUGUCCUCAAGGAAGAUAAUGACGGUACUUGAGGAGGAAGCCCCGGCUAACUACGUGCCAGCAGCCGCGGUAAUACGUAGGGGGCUAGCGUUAUCCGGAUUUACUGGGCGUAAAGGGUGCGUAGGCGGUCUCUCAAGUCAGGAGUUAAAGGCUACGGCUCAACCGUAGUAAGCUCCUGAUACUGUCUGACUUGAGUGCAGGAGAGGAAAGCGGAAUUCCCAGUGUAGCGGUGAAAUGCGUUAGAUAUUGGGAGGAACACCAGUAGCGAAGGCGGCUUUCUGGACUGUAACUGACGCUGAGGCACGAAAGCGUGGGGAGCAAACCAGGAUUAUUUUCCCGGGUUGUCCCCUCUGUAAUCGAUGUGUGUUGGGGUCGGAGGUUUCCCCCUUUGGUGCCGCCGGUUAACGCAUUUAAGUAUUUCCACCUGGGGAGUCCGCACGCAAGUGUGAAACUCAAAGGAAUUUAUCGGGGACCCGCACAAGUAGCGGGGCGUGUGGUUUUAUUCCCAAGCAACGCGAAGAACCUUACCUAGGCUUGACAUCCUUCUGACCGAGGACUAAUCUCCUCUUUCCCUCCGGGGACAGAAGUGACAGGUGGUGCAUGGUUGUCGUCAGCUCGUGUCGUGGGAUGUUGGGUUAAGUCCCGCAACGAGCGCAACCCUUGUCUUUAGUUGCCAUCAUUUAGUUGGGCACUCUAGAGAGACUGCCAGGGAUAACCUGGAGGAAGGUGGGGAUGACGUCAAAUCAUCAUGCCCCUUAUGCCUAGGGCUACACACGUGCUACAAUGGGUGGUACAGAGGGCAGCCAAGCCGUGAGGUG
rnacentral:rRNA from 1 species